UUGACCGAGACUAGCGACUUGUGCGCUAACUUUUGACUUGACCUCAAAUCA
rnacentral:rRNA from 1 species